UUAAUAGCAUUAUUUGAUAAUGGCCAAUAGAUUUAAUAAUUUAGUAGUAAUUUACAAUUAAUGUUAUAAAAUAGGAUAAAUUAGCAGUGUAAAUUAGUGAAUGUUGUUGAAGUUUUCAUCAUUUUAUAAAAAAUGAUACUAAAUGUGACAAAGUAGCAGUGCUUACUACUAAACGCCGCAGCAUUUACUCCGCGGUAUUUAUUUGAAUCAUGCUAAUUAAUAUAUUUAAUAGUGUUAUUUUGAUAACUGACGCUAGAUUUAAUAAUUUAGCAGCAAUUUAUUAUUAAUGUUGUAAAAUAGGAUAAAGUAGCAGCGUAAAUUAGUAAACGUUGCUGAAGUUUUUAGCAUUUCGACCUCCUCUUC
rnacentral:lncRNA from 1 species